rnacentral:rRNA from 1 species
UGGGGGAUAUUGCACAAUGGGCGAAAGCCUGAUGCAGCGACGCCGCGUGGGGGAUGAAGGCUUUCGGGUUGUAAACCUCUUUCGCUAUCGAACAAGGCCCGCUUAGGGUGGGUUGAGGGUAGGUGGAGAAGAAGCGCCGGCUAACUACGUGCCAGCAGCCGCGGUAAUACGUAGGGCGCGAGCGGUGUCCGGAAUUAUUGGGCGUAAAGGGCUUGUAGGCGGCUUGUUGCGCCUGCUGUGAAAACGCGGGGCUUAACUUCGCGCGUGCAGUGGGUACGGGCAGGCUUGAGUGUGGUAGGGGUGACUGGAAUUCCAGGUGUAGCGAUGGAAUGCGCAGAUAUCUGGAGGACCACCGAUGGCGAAGGCAGGUCACUGGGCCAUUACUGACGCUGAGGAGCGAAAGCAUGGGUAGCGAACAGG